rnacentral:rRNA from 1 species
GACGAACGCUGGCGGCGUGCUUAACACAUGCAAGUCGAACGGAAAGGCCCUGCUUUUGUGGGGUGCUCGAGUGGCGAACGGGUGAGUAACACGUGAGUAACCUGCCCUUGACUCUGGGAUAACUUCAGGAAACUGGGGCUAAUACCGGAUAGGAGCGCCUGCUGCACGGGGGGGGUUGGAAAGUUUCGGCGGUUGGGGAUGGACUCGCGGCUUAUCAGCUUGUUGGUGGGGUAGUGGCUUACCAAGGCUUUGACGGGUAGCCGGCCUGGGAGGGUGACCGGCCACAUUGGGACUGAGAUACGGCCCAGACUCCUACGGGAGGCAGCAGUGGGGAAUAUUGCACAAUGGGCGGAAGCCUGAUGCAGCAACGCCGCGUGCGGGAUGACGGCCUUCGGGUUGUAAACCGCUUUCGCCUGUGACGAAGCGUGAGUGACGGUAAUGGGUAAAGAAGCACCGGCUAACUACGUG